UGGGGAAUAUUGCACCAUGGGCGCAAGCCUGAUGCAGCCAUGCCGCGUGUAUGAAGAAGGCCUUCGGGUUGUAAAGUACUUUCAGCGGGGAGGAAGGCGAUAAGGUUAAUAACCUUGUCGAUUGACGUUACCCGCAGAAGAAGCACCGGCUAACUCCGUGCCAGCAGCCGCGGUAAUACGGAGGGUGCAAGCGUUAAUCGGAAUUACUGGGCGUAAAGCGCACGCAGGCGGUAUGUCAAGUCGGAUGUGAAAUCCCCGGGCUCAACCUGGGAACUGCAUUCGAAACUGGCAGGCUAGAGUCUUGUAGAGGGGGGUAGAAUUCCAGGUGUAGCGGUGAAAUGCGUAGAGAUCUGGAGGAAUACCGGUGGCGAAGGCGGCCCCCUGGACAAAGACUGACGCUCAGGUGCGAAAGCUUGGGGAGCAAACA
rnacentral:rRNA from 1 species